rnacentral:hammerhead_ribozyme from 11 species
AACUAGUUGAGAGUUGGAGUCAUUUCCUUGAUGAGUCCAUGGCAGGACAAAACCAGUC